rnacentral:rRNA from 1 species
AUGGCGGCGGCAGGCGGCGGAGGGGCGUUCGGUGGCGGGGCUGGCGGCGGGGCGUUCGGGGGAGGGGCGUUUGGCGGCGGGGCUGGUGUCGGAGGGGUCGGCGGUGGCGGUGCUGGUGGAGGGGCGUUCGGCGGCGCGGCUGGCGGCGGAGGGGCCGGCGGUGGCGGGGAUGAGCAGCCGUGGCUUCGUCUGCCUACGUACGCGCAGCUACUGCUCAGCUCCCUGCGGGCCACCUGCACGACCUUCGAGGAUCUGCGGGAGCGGGCUGGCACCCUUGCCAAGCUCGCGAACGACCUACAGACUGGUGUCAUUGCGGGCAACGUGGGGAUCCUCACGACAGCUGCGGUGAAGUUUGGGCACCGUAAGGUCGUUGAUAUUUUCCAUGAAAGGUUCUAUCCCAAGCGUGGAUCUCUGCAGUACGCUAGAGAUAUCACGCUAAGGCUGCAGAGCUCACGGCCCGAUUUUGAUGCUUGGAUACUGGCAUCCCUUGAUCGUGCUCAGUCAAGGCCUCUGUCAUCGUUCCUUCAGUAUGCUGGCAGGGAACUCAACAGGAUAAAGGGUCAUAUAAGGAACGCUGGGGUUAACACUAUAGUUGAGCUUCUUGAAUUACAUGCCCUCAACGAGAAUGCAGAGGAUUUCCUGCAAAGAGCCGCAGUACUGUAUGGCCCGACCAGGGAUGCUCUCAGCUAUGGUUUAGCAGAGCUUCGUCAGGCGGUUGCGGCUGUCACUGAUCUCGUCACUAGGUUCAACGAAGAGCCACCUGCCGUCCGUCAUCUUUUCAGCCCAUUUACCUCGGCAGGCCCACUGGGAAAAAAAGUCUGUUCUAAGCUAUGUGAGGAGGAAGCACACAACUCAAGACAUCUGAUAAGCCCGUGGUGCUCAAUGGUUGGGCUUGCAGUUAUAGCAGCGUAA